rnacentral:lncRNA from 1 species
CCCUUCUCCAUGGAUGCGUUUUCUAAUCAUUUCACAUGAUUGAGCCUCCAGCAAGUGAUGCUUUACUUAAUUCCUUUCCGCCUGUAGGGUGUGAGGUUUGGAGGGCCUCUCGUCAAAACUUUGGAGGGCUCUGUCAGUUUGAAAAGAACAUGACCUUUAAAUUGUAUCAGUAUGUUUGCUGGUGCAUAAGGGAGAGGAAAAGGUUCGUCCUGAUGGAAAACCACUCAGAAGCCAAGGAGUAAUUCAGAGGGAACCAGCCCAGGAAGAAUCAAGAAAGCUGCCCACAGUGUCAUUCUUCAGCUGAGAAAAGAGAGAGUUGACUAACUCCUCGGACUGGAGUGAGGACUCACAGAGGUGGUAGGACACUAACCAUCUAUGUCUCCAUUUCCUGGGUUGUAACACUGAGGUAGAACAUCUCACUGUCCCAUGGAGGAUUAUGUUAUUUUUGGAGAUUAAUAAUUUUGGAGGAAGAAAGGUGGCUUCCUGAAAAGGAAGUCACAUGAAGAAGCAACUUACACGGUGGUCUCUUUAAAUAAACAUAUUGUGACU